AGGGCCAGAAGAGGAGCGUUAACCAGGUAAUUACCGUUGUUUUGUUUGUAUGGUUUUUUAAUACAGUCAAAAACAGAGAUCAAACUUUGUAGAGGGUAAUGAGGGGGAUUAACGCCGAGAUAGAUGGCUAUUUGAUUGGCUGUUUAUCGGUUGUUUAUUUUAUACCUUAUAAAGUAGUGGGCUGAAUCCCAACAACUGUCACUUUGAACCAUAACCAUGUUGGUUGUUUAAGUGGGGAGCUUCUGGCCUU
rnacentral:ncRNA from 2 species